GUAGUUACAGGGCCGCGAAGAUCGGGCAGAUCUCCCUUGGUUUGGUGUUUCCAGGUCGAAACUGAAGCUCUGAGUUCACGUUCUUGCUCCGGGAAACUCGAGAGUCGCUACUGGCGUUGAAAUACUCCCCGCGGCGCCUCGCUUGACGGGUAGAGCACACACACAGUCCCCACCUCUCCCAGACAACCACAAAUUAUGCAGUCGGGUUUCCCAUAUUUGGGGAAAUCACAAGGGUCAGCACAUCUGGAGUGCAAUGGAUAAGGCUCAUCCUGAGAAAACUACCUUUGUGAUCAUAGUGUCUCCCCUGUCAGACUAACGCGCAGCGUUCACUUAACGGAGCCUCCCCAAGACGCCGGGCUCACCGCGGCAGGAGCCUCGCAGCGACUUCAUAGCCUUCGGAGACCCGCAGGCUUCACGUGCGUAGGAAAGAGGACUGAGACAAUCAGGCUUCAACUGGUAAUGCGAAAACCUGGAAGGACUGCGUGCCUUCCCCUACUCCGCAGUAGUACGUUUCUGUAAGAAUCUGCGCAUGCUCCUCACCUCAGUUCUGUAAGAAUCUGCGCAUGCUCCUCACCUCAGUAGAUGGGAGAUUUUACUCAGUGCUGA